rnacentral:rRNA from 1 species
GCGAUAAGAUGCGUGAGAAUCGUAUCCGCCGUAAAUCUAAGGUUUCCUACGCGAUGUUCGUCAUCGUAGGGUUAGUCGGGUCCUAAGCCAAGUCCGAAAGGGGUAGGCGAUGGGAAAUAGGUUAAUAUUCCUAUACCAAUUGCAAUGUGCGAUGGGAGGACGCAUAAAGUUAGGUGAGCUAGCUGAUGGAAGUGCUAGUCGAAGGGUGUAGAUUGGGAGAGAGGCAAAUCCGCUCCUGUAUUUGAAACCUGACAGGCUCUUUAAGGUCUUCGGACUAAGAAGAGAAUCACUGAUACUAUCGUGCCAAGAAAAGUCUCUAAGUUUAGUUGCAAUUGUCCGUACCGCAAACCGACACAGGUAGAUGAGAUGAGUAUUCUAAGGCGCGUGGAAGAACUCUCUUUAAGGAACUCUGCAAACUAGCACCGUAAGUUCGCGAUAAGGUGUGCCUACGCAAGUAGGUCUCAGCAAAGAGUCCCUCCCGACUGUUUACCAAAAACACAGCACUUUGCCAACUCGUAAGAGGAAGUAUAAGGUGUGACGCCUGCCCGGUGCUCGAAGGUUAAGAGGAUGGGUUAGCUCGCAAGAGCGAAGCUUUGAAUUGAAGCCCGAGUAAACGGCGGCCGUAACUAUAACGGUCCUAAGGUAGCGAAAUUCCUUGUCGGUUAAAUACCGACCUGCAUGAAUGGCGUAACGAGAUGGGAGCUGUCUCAAAGAGAGAUCCAGUGAAAUUGUAGUGGAGGUGAAAAUUCCUCCUACCCGCAGCAAGACGGAAAGACCCCGUGGACCUUUACUACAGCUUAGCACUGCUAAUGGGAAUGCCAUGCGCAGGAUAGGUGGGAGGCUUUGAAGCAGACACUUUGGUGUCUGUGGAGCCAUCCUUGAGAUACCACCCUUGGCGUUUUUGUUAGCUAACUGGCUAGAGUUAUCCUCUAGCAGGACAAUGCUUGGUGGGUAGUUUGACUGGGGCGGUCGCCUCCUAAAAAGUAACGGAGGCUUACAAAGGUUAGCUCAUGGCGGUUGGAAAUCGCCAGUUGAGUGUAAUGGCACAAGCUAGCUUAACUGCAAGAGAGACAACUCAAGCAGAGACGAAAGUCGGUCAUAGUGAUCCGGUGGUUCUCGUGUGGGAGAGCCAUCGCUCAAAGGAUAAAAGGUACCCCGGGGAUAACAGGCUGAUCUCCCCCAAGAGCUCACAUCGACGGGGAGGUUUGGCACCUCGAUGUCGGCUCAUCGCAUCCUGGGGCUGGAGCAGGUCCCAAGGGUAUGGCUGUUCGCCAUUUAAAGCGGUACGCGAGCUGGGUUCAGAACGUCGUGAGACAGUUCGGUCCCUAUCUGCUGUGGGCGUAGGAAAGCUGAGGAGAGCUGUCCCUAGUACGAGAGGACCGGGAUGGACAUGCCACUGGUGCACCAGUUGUUCUGCCAAGAGCACCGCUGGGUAGCUACGCAUGGUUGUGAUAAGAGCUGAAAGCAUCUAAGCUCGAAGCCAACUCCAAGAUAAGCUUUCCCUGAAGCUCGCAUGAAGACUACAUGUUUGAUAGGGUGGGUGUGUAAGUGCAGUAAUGCAUUUAGCUAACCACUACUAAUAGAGCGUUUGGCUUGUUU